UACGUAGGGUGCAAGCGUUAAUCGGAAUUACUGGGCGUAAAGCGUGCGCAGGCGGUUUUGUAAGGCUGUCGUGAAAUCCCCGGGCUCAACCUGGGAAUGGCGAUGGUGACUGCAAGGCUAGAGUUUGGCAGAGGGGGGUAGAAUUCCACGUGUAGCAGUGAAAUGCGUAGAUAUGUGGAGGAACACCGAUGGCGCAGGCAGCCCCCUGGGUCAAAACUGACGCUCAUGCACGAAAGCGUGGGGAGCAAACAGG
rnacentral:rRNA from 1 species